UGAUAAACACACACUUCUUAAAAAAGACUAUUUACAUGGAGCAUAAACGAGGUCCAGAACACUGUGUCCUGUUCAAAAAAUGAAAUGCACAUCUCUCAUCAGGAGUCUCUCAUUUCCAAAAGGCUGAGAAGACAGUUUGUGAAUGAUAAUCCAGCUGUUUAAAUUUAGGGCCGUGGAAAGUUUCAUUGGAACUGAAUUUGAGGGUGCGGCCUCUUGGUGGUUGGGUUUGUUCUCCUCAGAUGUCACAGCUCAGCAAGGACGAAGAGCACAUCUUUCCUUGAAUCCUGAGCUUCAGAGAUGUUUAAGGAACAUCUUGGUCAUUGAUUACACAGGGGAUGCUAAUAUUGUGUUAAGCCGAGUGCCUUCCGCCUUCCGUCUGGCCUUCCUUUCUUACGCUCUCACAACCUUGACUUUUCAGCUCAAUUUAUAACUUACUUGACAUAAAAUAUCAUUAGCAAGUCUAAUGGAAAAUUCCAGUGAAGGAGAGAACCCGCCUCCACUAUGGGAUGGUUAGCUAUUAAUUAAAGCUGACACAUGCCCUCCGCGCUACCCUCCAUGAUGUGUGUGACAGAUCAAGGUGUUGCCUCUUAGCAGUCGGAACGCCAGCUGGCUGCAGAGUGCAGAGGUGGUGGAAUAGUGUACCAGCUCCCACGGGGCUCUCAGGGUGACCAGAGGACUCCAGGCUGGGACAUGGUUGCAACAGGUCUCUCCAAGAUGACAUCUGGGCUUCUGAGCGAGCUUGGAGGAAAAGAAAAGAUUUCUGUUUUCAAAUUCUUCUACUAAAAAUGAAUUCCUUGGGCUGGGGUUUUAGCUCAGUGGUCGAGCGCUUGCCUCACAUGCAUGAAGCCCUGGGUUCCAUCCUCAGCACCACAUUAAACAAAUAAAGAUAUUGUGUCCAUCUACAACUAAAAAAAUGUUUAAAAAAAUGAA